AGGGCACGACGUGCACACAUGCAGUGAACGGUAACAGGAAGCAGCUUGCUGUUCGCCUUACGAGUGGCGGAGGCGAUAAGUCUGGGAACUGCCUGAUGGAGGGGUACUACUGGAACGGAGCAAACCCAUAACGUCGCAGACCAAGAGGGGGACUUAGGCCUCUUGCAUCGGAUGUCCCCGAUGGAUUAGCUAGAGGGGGACGCUCACUAGCGACGUCCCAGCUGGCUAGAGGUGCCACCCCUGGACUAGAACGGCCAACUCACGGAGCACAUGGAUUGCCAUGGCCCGGAUGACAUCCCGGAUAGAGCUCGUUGAAGAUUCGGGAGAAGAUAAGUAACUUGUAUGCGUACGAGAGACCGCAAUCUCACGCGGUAUCGAGUCACUAUCGAUAUGGGAAGCCCGCGUUGUAGCGUUAACCGGUACUGGAUCUUAAUGCAGUGGUCGAGGGGAGAUCGGGAGGUGAUCGAGGUUGGGAACGGGGAGGCCCUGCAAAUAGUAGCAAGGGGGACGGUAGACUGAGCCCGAACAGCGUGAGUGCCUGGGGUCGGCACCUAGGCCUGGGCGCGAGAAUAUAUGGGCCAAGGGGUUGUUCUCCGAACAUGUGACCAUUCGAGAGCUCGCGAAGCUGUGCCUGAUGACCAAAAA
rnacentral:rRNA from 1 species